AAAAAAAGUUCCAAACCUCUCUAACCAUCAUCAUAUAUUAUUUCAUGAUACAACUAUGUAUUAAAACAAUAUUGUCAUAUUUUUUGAAUUUUUUUCAAAAUCUAUGUAUUAACCACUAUAAAAUAUUCAAUUCGGUAAAUGGUUAAUAUACUGAAGCCUAUAAUUUUAAGUGUUGUUUUAAAAUUUCUAACCACAUUCUAUAUUUGUAUUUAUGUAUUCUAAACUCUCUUACAUCGUAAAUAGGCGACAUUCUAUUUUUUAUCUAUUAAUUUUGUAAAACUUCAUAUGCUCUCCAAAUCAGUGGACAAACCACAAUAUAAUCCCUAUUCUAGAGAAAAAGAGAUAACAAAAGUUC
rnacentral:lncRNA from 1 species